CAGAAUGCACGCGCCGUGAUUUUUGGUGGUCGAUUGCCACUUUCUUUUCCUUCAUACGCUGUAUCGAAAUACACGUCGCUUAAUAAAACAAGUCAAAGCGUAGGGUAGAAUGCAUGGAAUUUUAAUUGCCAUCUUCCGCAUAUUAUAUUGAUCUCUGGCGAUUGGAAUCAUAAUUUGGAAAUUUCGAAGUAAUUAGUUCGUGAUUUGCCUGUACUCCUAGUGAGGAUAUAUAUUUGCGUUCUUCUUUUAUUAACGUUUCGGCUGUAAUUUGUUGUACUGCAAUUUUCAUCGACAAUUGUUAAUUCAUCUACUAUUAGUCUUCUUAAGAGUCAAGGGUUUAAGUUUAAGUUCAAGUUCAGGCUCAAGUUCACGUCUCGGAUACGUUUUACGUUACCUACUAAUUCUGGUUCGAGGUACAAGUUUUGCAACCUUGAGUUAAAUUCGCCGAUACCUGCGGUUACCGACGCAUUUGCUGUCAUUUUGCUGUAAAAUAGGUCACUCGAUCAUGAAGCAGAUUAAGUAUCAAGGAUCGAUCCUCAUACGGGGCCACUUCCGUAACUCUUGUCUUACUUGUUAACUAUUUUGCCCCUUACAUGCGAUUACAUUUAAGUAAUUUGUGAACAUCAGUACCUACUCACUACUCAGAAUCUUUGUCAUAGUACCGUACUUGGUUUGGAAGUAGAUUACGAGUAGAGCGAGGCACUUCAGGCAUUAAUCAACUAAUUAUAAUACAUACCGAGUGGUGCAGGGUAAGUAGGAACAUAGAGAUUUAAAGUGAGAAAUUAGUUUUAUGCA